GACGAGGGGUCCAAGCGUUGUUCGGAAUCAUUGGGCGUAAAGCGGGUGUAGGUGGCUUUGUAAGUCAGGAGUGAAAUCCCCGAGCUUAACUUGGGAAGUGCUUUUGAAACUGCAGAGCUUGAAUGUGGGAGAGGAUCGUGGAAUUCCAGGUGUAGUGGUGAAAUACGUAGAUAUCUGAGGAACACAGUAGCGAAGGCGCUUC
rnacentral:rRNA from 1 species